CCUACGGGAGGCUGCAGUGGGGGAUAUUGCACAAUGGGGGAAACCCUGAUGCAGCGACGCCGCGUGAGUGAAGAAGUAUUUCGGUAUGUAAAGCUCUAUCAGCAGGGAAGAAAAUGACAGUACCUGACCAAGAAGCCACGGCUAACGACGUGCCAGCAGCCGCGGGAAUACGUAGGGGGCAAGCGUUAUCCGGAUUUCCUGGGUGUAAAGGGAGCGUAGACGGUUAGGUAAGGAUGGAGUGAAAGCCCGGGGCCCAACCCCGGGACUGCUUUGGAAACUGUGUAACUGGAGUACAGGAGGGGCAGGCGGAAUUCCUGGUGUAGCGGUGAAAUGCGUAGAUAUCAGG
rnacentral:rRNA from 1 species